CCCAAUAAAAGCCUGCAGAUGUCACUGAGGGCUCCAGGACUCUCUCCUUUACCCCAUCUGCUUGGAUCAUAGAAAAAACCUGCCCUGUGUCCUCCUGCCCUUACAAUUCUCUUUUCAUCUGCAAGAACCAAUGGUGAACCUGCCUGGCCUGGGGUGCAGCACAACACAGAGCUGACUGGCCCACAGAGGCCUCAGUCUUUGAUAUGUCAGUGCACAAAAGAGGCUCGUGAAAAGAAACAGCUGCACGAUACCAGCAGGAGCUGCUGCAGCUACAGAUUUGAGGCUACUACUGUCCUUCCUAGCCCACGUGGGAAUUGAUUCUGGGAAGUCAAAGGAUGCAUGUCUGCAGCGCUCUCACUCACCGUGAUCCGUGCUAGUAAAUGAGGACAUUAGAACAAACAUCAUGAGGCCUCGGCUGCGAGCACCAAUUGUGUUUUUCUUAAUAGCUGUUAGAGUUAUUGGGUUUUGCGUUUUAUAAUACCAUUUGUGAUUAUGCUGGAGUGAGCAGAAAAGAGGAAGCUCUGGUAAUGUGGAUUAUUUUUGAUGCAUUAAAGAGGCAUAUUAGAUUCGGAAUCCAAGAUUUUGGAGUUAGAACUAGUCCUACUAGCUGUGUUUCCUCGUAUACCAUUUCUUUUUCGUGAAUCUUCAUUGUGUUGUCUAUAAAAUAGAGAAAAUAAGA